rnacentral:rRNA from 1 species
UACGGGGGAUGCGAGCGUUAUCCGGAUUCAUUGGGUUUAAAGGGUGCGUAGGCGGCUUUGCAAGUCAGCGGUGAAAGGCCCGGGCUCAACCCGGAAAGUGCCGUUGAUACUGUGAGGCUGGAAUGCGGAUGCUGUGGGAGGAAUGAGUGGUGUAGCGGUGAAAUGCAUAGAUAUCACUCAGAACACCGAUUGCGAAGGCAUCUCACAAAUCCGCUAUUGACGCUGAGGCACGAAAGCGUGGGGAUCGAACAGG